AACGAACGCUGGCGGCAGGCUUAACACAUGCAAGUCGAGCGCCCCGCAAGGGGAGCGGCAGACGGGUGAGUAACGCGUGGGAAUCUACCCAUCUCUACGGAAUAACGCAUGGAAACGUGUGCUAAUACCGUAUACGUCCUUCGGGAGGAAGAUUUAUCGGAGAUGGAUGAGCCCGCGUUGGAUUAGCUAGUUGGUGGGGUAAAGGCCUACCAAGGCGACGAUCCAUAGCUGGUCUGAGAGGAUGAUCAGCCACACUGGGGCUGAGACACGGCCCAGACUCCUACGGGAGGCAGCAGUGGGGAAUAUUGGACAAUGGGCGCAAGCUUGAUCCAGCCAUGCCGCGUGAGUGAUGAAGGCCCUAGGGUUGUAAAGCUCUUUCACCGGUGAAGAUAAUGACGGUAACCGGAGAAGAAGCCCCGGCUAACUUCGUGCCAGCAGCCGCCGUAAUAC
rnacentral:rRNA from 1 species